rnacentral:rRNA from 1 species
GACGAACGCUGGCGGCGUGCCUAAUACAUGCAAGUCGAGCGAACAGAUGCUGAGCUUGCUGCUCUGACGUUUGCGGCACACGGGUGUGUAACGCGUGUAUAACCUACUUAUAAUUCGGGUAUAUCUUCGGGAAUCCGGAUCUAAUACCGUAUAAUAUACUGAACCACGUGGGUCGAUGGUGAAAUUCGGUUGUGCGGUCUCUUCUCGCGGGUUCCCGGCCGUAUUAGCUAGUUGGUAAGUUACCGGCCUAUGAAGGCAACGAUGCGUAGGCGACGGGAGAGGGUGAUAGGCCGCAUUGGAAGUGAGACGCGGUCCAGAGUCCUGAGGGAGGGAGCAGUAGGGAAUCUUCCGCAAUGGGCGAAAGCCUGACGGAGUGACGCCACGUCAGAGAUGAAGGUCUUCGGAUCGUAAUGCUGUGUUAUGAGGUAAAAACAGAUGUGGAAGUAAACAUGCCCGUCUUGACGGUAAUGGAUAAGAAAGCAACGGCUAACUACGUG